rnacentral:rRNA from 1 species
UGCAAGUAGAACGCUGAAGAGAGGAGCUUGCUCUUCUUGGAUGAGUUGCGAACGGGUGAGUAACGCGUAGGUAACCUGCCUUGUAGCGGGGGAUAACUAUUGGAAACGAUAGCUAAUACCGCAUAACAAUGGAUGACACAUGUCAUUUAUUUGAAAGGGGCAAUUGCUCCACUACAAGAUGGACCUGCGUUGUAUUAGCUAGUAGGUGAGGUAACGGCUCACCUAGGCGACGAUACAUAGCCGACCUGAGAGGGUGAUCGGCCACACUGGGACUGAGACACGGCCCAGACUCCUACGGGAGGCAGCAGUAGGGAAUCUUCGGCAAUGGGGGCAACCCUGACCGAGCAACGCCGCGUGAGUGAAGAAGGUUUUCGGAUCGUAAAGCUCUGUUGUAAGUCAAGAACGAGUGUGAGAGUGGAAAGUUCACACUGUGACGGUAGCUUACCAGAAAGGGACGGCUAACUACGUGCCAGCAGCCGCGGUAAUACGUAGGUCCCGAGCGUUGUCCGGAUUUAUUGGGCGUAAAGCGAGCGCAGGCGGUUUGAUAAGUCUGAAGUUAAAGGCUGUGGCUCAACCAUAGUUCGCUUUGGAAACUGUCAAACUUGAGUGCAGAAGGGGAGAGUGGAAUUCCAUGUGUAGCGGUGAAAUGCGUAGAUAUAUG